GUCGAACGAGCUUCCGUUGAAUGACGUGCUUGCACUGAUUUCAACAAUGAAGCGAGUGGCGAACUGGUGAGUAACACGUGGGGAAUCUGCCCAGAAGCAGGGGAUAACACUUGGAAACAGGUGCUAAUACCGUAUAACAACAAAAUCCGCAUGGAUUUUGUUUGAAAGGUGGCUUCGGCUAUCACUUCUGGAUGAUCCCGCGGCGUAUUAGUUAGUUGGUGAGGUAAAGGCCCACCAAGACGAUGAUACGUAGCCGACCUGAGAGGGUAAUCGGCCACAUUGGGACUGAGACACGGCCCAAACUCCUACGGGAGGCAGCAGUAGGGAAUCUUCCACAAUGGACGAAAGUCUGAUGGAGCAAUGCCGCGUGAGUGAAGAAGGGUUUCGGCUCGUAAAACUCUGUUGUUAAAGAAGAACACCUUUGAGAGUAACUGUUCAAGGGUUGACGGUAUUUAACCAGAAAGCCACGGCUAACUACGUGCCAGCAGCCGCGGUAAUACGUAGGUGGCAAGCGUUGUCCGGAUUUAUUGGGCGUAAAGCGAGCGCAGGCGGUUUUUUAAGUCUGAUGUGAAAGCCUUCGGCUUAACCGGAGAAGUGCAUCGGAAACUGGGAGACUUGAGUGCAGAAGAGGACAGUGGAACUCCAUGUGUAGCGGUGGAAUGCGUAGAUAUAUGGAAGAACACCAGUGGCGAAGGCGGCUGUCUAGUCUGUAACUGACGCUGAGGCUCGAAAGCAUGGGUAGCGAACAGGAUUAGAUACCCUGGUAGUCCAUGCCGUAAACGAUGAGUGCUAAGUGUUGGAGGGUUUCCGCCCUUCAGUGCUGCAGCUAACGCAUUAAGCACUCCGCCUGGGGAGUACGACCGCAAGGGUUGAAACUCAAAGGAAAUUGACGGGGGCCCGCACAAGCGG
rnacentral:rRNA from 1 species